rnacentral:tRNA from 1 species
GGCGCUAUCGUCUAGUGGUUAGGACAUGGCCCUCUCAAGGCCAAGGCACGGGUUCGAAUCCCGUUAGCGCUACCA